GGGGAAUAUUGGACAAUGGGGGCAACCCUGAUCCAGCGAUGCCGCGUGAGUGAUGAAGGCCUUCGGGUUGUAAAGCUCUUUUGCACGCGACGAUGAUGACGGUAGCGUGAGAAUAAGCCCCGGCUAACUCUGUGCCAGCAGCCGCGGUAAUACAGAGGGGGCUAGCGUUGUUCGGAAUGACUGGGCGUAAAGGGCGCGUAGGUGGCUCUACAAGUCAGAUGUGAAAGGCCUAGGCUUAACCUGGGGAUGGCAUUUGAGACUGUAAAGCUAGAGUCCGGGAGAGGAUAGCGGAAUUCCUAGUGUAGAGGUGAAAUUCGUAGAUAUUAGGAAGAACACCGGUGGCGAAGGCGGCUAUCUGGAACGGAACUGACACUGAGGCGCGAAAGCGUGGGGAGCAAAC
rnacentral:rRNA from 1 species